CUGGCACACACGAGCACGGACGGCCGGGACGACCAUUCACCGUGGCGGUUGGUGUGGUGUGUGGCGUGUGUUGUGCGGAGAGAGAGAGAGAGAGAGAGAGAGAGAGAGAGAGAGAGAGAGAGAGAGAGAGAGAGAGAGAGAGAGAGCGUACAUGAAUGUCAUACGGCUACCACGGCUAUGCGGGAAGGCUAGCGACCGUAGCAGGUAUUAUGACCCCGAACGAAACCGGCGUGCCUGAGGCACGCCAGCACGAGCGAACGAAAUGGGAAUCUUUUGGCAUUCUAUU